UCCUGGCUCAGAUUGAACGCUGGCGGCAGGCCUAACACAUGCAAGUCGAGCGGUAGAGAGAAGCUUGCUUCUCUUGAGAGCGGCGGACGGGUGAGUAAUGCCUAGGAAUCUGCCUGGUAGUGGGGGAUAACGUUCGGAAACGGACGCUAAUACCGCAUACGUCCUACGGGAGAAAGCAGGGGACCUUCGGGCCUUGCGCCAUCAGAUGAGCCUAGGUCGGAUUAGCUAGUUGGUGGGGUAAUGGCUCACCAAGGCGACGAUCCGUAACUGGUCUGAGAGGAUGAUCAGUCACACUGGAACUGAGACACGGUCCAGACUCCUACGGGAGGCAGCAGUGGGGAAUAUUGGACAAUGGGCGAAAGCCUGAUCCAGCCAUGCCGCGUGUGUGAAGAAGGUCUUCGGAUUGUAAAGCACUUUAAGUUGGGAGGAAGGGUUGUAGAUUAAUACUCUGCAAUUUUGACGUUACCGACAGAAUAAGCACCGGCUAACUCUGUGCCAGCAGCCGCGGUAAUACAGAGGGUGCAAGCGUUAAUCGGAAUUACUGGGCGUAAAGCGCGCGUAGGUGGUUUGUUAAGUUGGAUGUGAAAUCCCCGGGCUCAACCUGGGAACUGCAUUCAAAACUGACUGACUAGAGUAUGGUAGAGGGUGGUGGAAUUUCCUGUGUAGCGGUGAAAUGCGUAGAUAUAGGAAGGAACACCAGUGGCGAAGGCGACCACCUGAACUAAUACUGACACUGAGGUGCGAAAGCGUGGGGAGCAAACAGGAUUAGAUACCCUGGUAGUCCACGCCGUAAACGAUGUCAACUAGCCGUUGGAAGCCUUGAGCUUUUAGUGGCGCAGCUAACGC
rnacentral:rRNA from 1 species